CAGAAAACCACGUGAUGGCUGCUGAGCAAUGAAUGGACUACAGUGUUGGGAGUGGAAAAGCAGAAGAGAGCUGAGGAUAAAGCCAGGGAAACCAUUGAUGGUCUGUUUCAGUAAUCCAGGAGUUAGAGAUUCAAAACUUGAAAGGACUGGAAUUGGUGAGAAAUGGUUGGAUUCAGGAUAUAAUUCAGCAAUGGAACUUGGACGACUUACGAAUAGAUUGGUUAUAGGUUGUGAAGAGGAAAGAUGACACUAUGAUGACUACUAAGUGAUACCGAGACAUGUUUACGAACUGUGAUUGGUAGAAAAGAAUAAAUUAACCAUGUAGAAGAGAAUGGGAUAAUUGAAGAAGUGAAGUCCUUUAGGGUACAACAGCAUAUGGGAACCAGGCCUCAUAUAGAAACAGGAGCACUUCAUGAUCACAAGAGGGAUGACAGAGUACAAGCAGUGACAACGGCCUCCUUGAGCUUCCUACAUGGGAUGCCUGCUGCAGAACUGUCCCUUAGUGAGCCGUGGUGAAGAGGAUCUGCAAAACGGGAUAAUCUUUCUUGAGCAGGGAGGUGAAAGAACCCAGCAAUGGCAUGGAUGGAUGUCCUUGGAAGAAUGGAAGGCCCCAGUGUGGUGGGGUGAGGCUUACAUAAAAGCACCCCCAAAUGCCAUUCACUUUCUUCUUCCUUCCUAAAAUAAUUGAAACUGUGGCUAUUGGUAAGCACCUGGUCUUUGCCCAGCAUUGUAGCAGAGGCUAUAGCAGGAGGCCAGACGUCCAGCUCCCCAGGGAGUAAGGGGUCCCAUGGACACAGCCUGAUGGGACCAGCCAUGAUGGCGGGCAGAGCUGUGUCUGGAAAGGAGUCCAAACACCAAAUUCUAGUAUUGGGAUCUUCAUGGUGAUCAUUUGCAAGGCCUCAAUUCUGCCACAGGCUGUUCUACUAUUCCUUGUUCUACUGUUCCUAGCUUUUUCUUAACACUAUUUGCUAAAUGCUCUUCUUUUGGCCAUAUAAAACUGUUAUUCCUCAGACUACAUACUUAUAAUUUGUGUGUUAUUUUUCAUUCUGCCCUAAAGUUCUAAAGUCCAGAAAUGCCUUUUCAUAUCUUCGCUAUAUACACACACAUAUAUGGAAUAGCAAACUGUGAUUCUCUCCUUGAACCACCCAGGAAUAAUAAAUAUGUGGACUUUUUGAAGGUAGAGACUGUGGCUUGUCAACGACUGUAGAGUUAAAAAACAUGAGUUAUUUCUUUUGAAUAAGUAGGACAAAUAUCACCAGUAUAUUGUAGGUACAAUCAGCUAAACUCUUUUUCCCACAAACGCUGGAUAAAUUUUGUGAUCACAAUUACUGACAUAAUAAUAGUUUUCCUUUCACUGGGAAAAGUCUUCUGUAAUUUUGUGUUCAUUUUGCCUUUUUGCCUGUUUACUGCUAAAAAGCGUGAUAGUCAAAUUGUCUUCUCAUUCAAAUUCUUAACGUUAUGUUGUGAUUUAAAAUCAGAGCCAAAAACACAGAGCUGCUUAUUCACAUUUCUCUAAUUUUUUUACCUAACAAAAAAGAAUAAAUCAUUCACAGACAUCUGAAGAAAAGUUACAUAAUUUUAAAAAAUUAUUACAUGGAGAGUUACUAAGGGUAUUGAGUGAGUUAAAUAUCCAGGAAUUGAUGGCUCUGGUCAGUCUCAUUUUACAGAAUCACUGGGGAGUGAUUUGCAUGUUUUGAAUUUUUAGAAUUUACUUGAUAAAAUAACAUGCAAAUGGGGAGAAUAAAGACAUGAACAAAUUUUAAGUGGCUACCUAGAGAGCCAAGUCUUAAAUUCUCCAACCACUCAUUAUUCCUGAGCUUGAGAAUAAAUCAAUGAAUCAAGAUAAAGCAUGAGUGAAAAGGAAUAAUACUGGGAUAGCCACCAAAGUUUCUUUUAGAAUAAAGAAAAAAAAAAACAGAACGAACAGUUGUGUAUAGUAGCACUGAGAACAUUAGAAUUUCCUUCUUUUGACCCUUCUAGAUAUACUUAUUGUAAUUGUGUUUGGCUCCAGCACUCCUCCUCUUGUUUUUAUUUUGAAUUAGGUCCAGACUUUUUAGCUCCAGGGAAGCUAGGAGUAGUACUAAAAUUGCUCUUUCACUUAAACAGAGCUAAUUGCAGCUACGAUGUCGUUCAUAGACUGGAAAUUAAUGAUGGGAAAGACCUGUUAGAUCAUCUCUUCCAUCUGAUUCUGGCAAUACAGGAUUAUUUUUUACAUUGUGUCCUGGAAUAUUCUGCCUGGUUAAUUUUAAGUGACUAAAAUAAUGGUGCUUUCACUAUUUCCCUUGGGAGACAAUUAUGUAGCCUAAUAAACUUCACUCAGGACAUCAAUUUGAAGAUCAGCCCAGGUUUUCUUUUCACUUCGUUUCAUGCCAUUACUUCUACUUAUACACCCUUGGAUCACCCUAAACAAUUCAUUUUCCUUAUCCAUUCAAUACAGCAAAUUUCCUGGCUACCAUCCUAAAAGAACUCCAAGGAUGGUUUCAUUUGCAUGUCUGAAAAAGGCUAUGGUCUUGCUUAGUGGUGAAGCAAAAUACAGCUAUUCAUUAUUCCAUGAAUCAUGCUUUUCCAAACGGAGGCAAAGGAAGGCUUUAAAAAAUAAAUAAAUAAAAACCCACACAAGAACCUAGCAUUUGCAUUAUAUCUGCACCUUUAAUUAAUCAGCUUUAAAUGUAUAUUAAAACUUUCUUUUUCUGUGACUUUUAAAUAUAUCACUUCUAUUAGAUUUUCCACUCCCCAAAAUCUUAUCAUUAAAAUUUAUUUUUGGA
rnacentral:lncRNA from 10 species